rnacentral:rRNA from 1 species
UACGGAGGGUGCAAGCGUUAUCCGGAUUCACUGGGUUUAAAGGGUGCGUAGGUGGGCAGGUAAGUCAGUGGUGAAAUCUCCGGGCUUAACCCGGAAACUGCCGUUGAUACUAUCUGUCUUGAAUAUAGUGGAGGUGAGCGGAAUAUGUCAUGUAGCGGUGAAAUGCUUAGAUAUGACAUAGAACAUCGAUUGCGAAGGCAGCAAACUGGGCAUCAUCUGACGCUGAGGCGCGAAAGCGUGGGUAGCAAACAGG